GACGAACCGUGCGAACGUUGUUCGGAAUCACUGGGCUUAAAGGGCGCGUAGGCGGACGAUCAAGUCGGGGGUGAAAUCUUUCGGCUCAACCGGAAAAUAGCCUUCGAUACUGGUCGUCUAGAGGGAGGUAGGGGCGUGUGGAACUUCCGGUGGAGCGGUGAAAUGCGUUGAUAUCGGAAGGAACUCCGGUGGCGAAAGCGACACGCUGGAUCUCAUCUGACGCUGAGGCGCGAAAGCCAGGGGAGCGAACGGG
rnacentral:rRNA from 1 species